GGAACUGGAGCAGCUAGCCCAACUGCCCUCAAGCAAGAAUUCCCUUCUGAAGGAUGCCAUGGCUCCAGGCACCCCCAAGUCCCUCCUGUUGUCUGCUUCCAUCAAGAGGGAAGGAGAGUCUCCAACGGCAUCACCCCACUCAUCUGCCACCGAUGACCUCCACCACUCAGACAGAUACCAGGUGAGGAGGGAUGGUGAGUGGCCAUGAGAAGCAAGCUUAUCUGGGGGAGGGCUUCAAGAGACUGCCUGGUGCUAACUCCUCCUCUCCUCCGUAGGCCACAGGAGAGGCCUGAACUGGGUUUGGUUCCCUCUGUGUCCCGUGCCCCUAAGUGAACUCAGGAGGCUUAGGUGUCAGGGAAUAGGCCUUAAAUAGAUGGAUUUUAGGGAGAGAUGCCAAGGUCACAUGGGCUCCAUGGGCUCUGAGCACCUCUGAAUCAUUCUAUCCAUCAGGAAGUAUCCUAUGGGGUUUGGUUUCAUAAGGGACCCAGAUACAUAGCCCAGAAUCACCUGAAGAUUUCAGACUUCAAAAGCAUGAUACCGGCCAGGUGCGGUGGCUCACGCCUGUAAUCUCAGCACUUUGGGAGGCUGAGGCAGGCAGAUCAUGAGGUCAAGAGAUCAAGACCAUCCUGGCCAACAUGGUGAGACCCCAUCUCUGCUGAAAAUACAAAAAUUAGCUGGGCAUGGUAGCGUGUGCCUGUAGUCCCAGCUACUUGGGAGGCUGAGGCAGAAGAAUCGCUUGAACCCAGAAGAUGGAGGUUGCAGUGAGCCAAGAUCGCACCACGGCACUCCAGCCUGGCGAUAGAGUGAUACUCCAUUUCAAAAAAAAAAA
rnacentral:sRNA from 1 species